AGCAGCCGCGGUAAUUCCAGCUCCAAUAGCGUAUAUUAAAGUUGUUGCAGUUAAAAAGCUCGUAGUUGAAUUUCGGAAUCAAGUCGUCGGUCGUGCUCAGGUACGUACUGGCGUCAUUGAUUUCUCCCUUCUGACGAACCAUGAUGUCAUUAAUUUGGUGUCAUGGGAAAUCAGGACUGUUACUUUGAAAAAAUUAGAGUGUUUAAAGCAGGCUCACGCUUGAAUACAUUAGCAUGGAAUAAUGAAAUAGGACGUUCGAUCCUAUUUUGUUGGUUUUUAGGAUCAACGUAAUGAUUAAUAGGGAUAGUUGGGGGCAUUAGUAUUCAAUUGUCAGAGGUGAAAUUCUUGGAUUUAUUGAAGACUAACUACUGCGAAAGCAUUUGCCAAGGAUGUUUUCAUUAAUCAAGAACGAAAGUUAGGGGAUCGAAGACGAUCAGAUACCGUCGUAGUCUUAACCAUAAACUAUGCCGACUAGGGAUCGGAUGAUGUUAAUUUUUUAAUGACUCAUUCGGCGCCUUAC
rnacentral:misc_RNA from 1 species